GAUGAACGCUGGCGGCGUGCCUAAUACAUGCAAGUCGAGCGAACGGACGAGAAGCUUGCUUCUCUGAUGUUAGCGGCGGACGGGUGAGUAACACGUGGAUACCUACCUAUAAGACUGGGAUAACUUCGGGAAAACGGAGCCAAUACCGGAUAAUAUUUUUGACCGCAUGGUUUCAAAGUGAAAAAAGGUCUUGCUGUUACUUAUAGAUGGAUCCGCGCUGCAUUAGCUAGUUGGUAAGGUAACGGCUUACCAAGGCAACGAUGCAUAGCCGACCUGAGAGGGUGAUCGGCCACACUGGAACUGAGACACGGUCCAGACUCCUACGGGAGGCAGCAGUAGGGAAUCUUCCGCAAUGGGCGAAAGCCUGACGGAGCAACGCCGCGUGAGUGAUGAAGGUCUUCGGAUCGUAAAACUCUGUUAUUAGGGAAGAACAUAUGUGUAAGUAACUGUGCACAUCUUGACGGUACCUAAUCAGAAAGCCACGGCUAACUACGUG
rnacentral:rRNA from 1 species